CAGCCGCCACGGUAACACAGAGGGUGCAAGCGUUAAUCGGAAUUACUGGGCGUAAAGCGCGCGUAGGUGGUUUGUUAAGUUGGAUGUGAAAUCCCCGGGCUCAACCUGGGAACUGCAUCCAAAACUGGCAAGCUAGAGUAUGGUAGAGGGUGGUGGAAUUUCCUGUGUAGCGGUGAAAUGCGUAGAUAUAGGAAGGAACACCAGUGGCGAAGGCGACCACCUGGACUGAUACUGACACUGAGGUGCGAAAGCGUGGGGAGCAAACAGGAUUAGAUACCCCUGUAGUCCCUGUCUCUUAUAU
rnacentral:rRNA from 1 species